GGUGCCUGAAGUAGGUUGCCUGUGAGGUGUUCACUUUCUAUACGAUGAAUAUUAUACAGUCAACCUCUUUCCGGUAUC
rnacentral:pre_miRNA from 1 species